AAACCAGAUGUUGAGCAAAAUAAAUCCUCCCCAUCUUCCUCUUCAGCAUCCUCCUCUUCAGAGUCUGACUCCUCUGACUCUGAUGCUGACAGCAGCAACAGCAGUUCAGAGUCGUCCAGUGAAGAGAGCGGAUCUUCAUCUGCUAGCAGUCACAGCUCUGCCCCAGCUAAAGAAACAAGAAAGAAGGGACAAAGGAAGACCAGAAGUAAAGAAGUAGAUAAAUUGAUCAGGAGCCAACACAAAAAUGAUAGGAAA